rnacentral:rRNA from 1 species
GGAAGGUCCGGGCGUUAUCUGGAUUUAUUGGGUUUAAAGGGAGCGUAGGCCGGAGAUUAAGCGUGUUGUGAAAUGUAGACGCUCAACGUCUGCACUGCAGCGCGAACUGGUUUCCUUGAGUACGCACAAAGUGGGCGGAAUUCGUGGUGUAGCGGUGAAAUGCUUAGAUAUCACGAAGAACUCCGAUCGCGAAGGCAGGCAUCCGGGGUGCAACUGACGCUGAAGCUCGAAAGUGCGGGUAUCGAACAGGAUUAGAUACCCUGGUAGUCCGCACGGUAAACGAUGGAUGCCCGCUGUUGGCCUGAAUAGGUCAGCGGCCAAGCGAAAGCAUUAAGCAUCCCACCUGGGGAGU